GAUAUGCAACUCACAAAUGAAAAGCAUGCAGACGAGAAACCCAUUAAUGCUAUCAUUAUAAAUUCAGUAUCCGAAUUCAAUAUCACAGAUGGACCAGCCAAGGAAACCCCCAGUGAGAAAAAACUGUCAGAAUUCAGCACAUCACUGUCCUCCCUUGAAGAAUGCCAAACGAAAUUUUCCUACCUCCAAACUGAUACUUCAGUUCAUCAGAGAGACACUGAUGGUAUGUUUCUCAGAAUCAACCCAUCUCUAAAUAAAGCUCCCCAACCCCCGCCCCUGUAAAAUCAUCACAUAUGCUGUUAGAAAAAAAGAGCCUUUAUGAAUAUUAAACAGGAAGACUUCGAUUUGAAAACCCUGGUGAAUGACACAUGUCAAGGUCACUCUGCAAUUAUGAGGUGCUUGGCAGAUUGUUUGCUCUCAAAGCUGGAAAUCGGAGGCAAAGUGUUUUAAAUAGCUGGAGUGAGGUAUAAUCAUGCUUGCUAUGGAGUUAUGAUGUGGAUAAAGAAAAACGGCAAACUUUUCUCAAAUCUGGGACUGUUCAGCCCCUGUCUCUAGGCUGAGAGGAGAAGAAGGCAGAGGGGAAUGGUAUGAAAAUGCUGGAAAUGUGUAAAUGUAGACUGUAAAAAAUAUCAAUCUGCUUACAUCAGCAAGCAGUAAAGAAGGAUUGGUUACUCUCGCUGAUAUCACCUCCUGGGCAUUCUGAUCAGUGCAAACCUACACCAAACUACCCCUGUAUAUGACAUUAAAGGCACAUUCCCUUUCGCAAAGCCAACUUCAAAUUGAUUUGGUGCUAAGUGAUCAUCACAGUCAAGUUCAAAGUCAUGGACUCCACACCAAGACAUAUGUAAUUUUACUCAGGUUGACUUUGCAGUGACCUUUACAGAAGACAUAAACCGUUCAGGAAUUUCGUAGUGUUCCAUACCUACGUUUGCAUUUAAAGAAAGCUUGCAAUCUCUCAAAAGAGAAUGUAAUAGGUCCUAGUUACUAGUCUAGAUUUAAAUUAACAUUUACUUUUUGAAAAAGAGAAAAAAGAAAUACAUAGACUUUGUAUUAGCAGGAGUUUGGAAUCACAUCAGUUUAAUUCCUGGCUCUGAAAUUUAUUAACUGCAUAAACCUGGGUAAGUUUUUUAGCAUCUCUGACUCUCAGACUCUCGGUUAUAUAUCAUGGAGCUAGUAACACAUCAUAGGGUGUUUUGAAGAUCAAAUGAAAUAACAUAUAUAAAGGAUCCAAUAGAGAACCUGGCACAUAAUAGAUAUGUGAUUUUUGCUUUCAUUCUGGUUCUGGUUUUAGAAAGUGAGGGGAGAGAUUUCUAACACAUGUUAUUUACGAUCUUAUGCACACAUUGUCAAGGAUGCUUCAGACCAGAAGCUACAGACACAAUUGCUUGCAGCUGCCAGGAGAUAGUGUGAAUAAUGCAGAAGAUGGGCAGUGAACAAUAGGGGUGGGCGAGGACUAUGGCAAGGUGAAGAGCCCUGCCACUACUCAGCUCCAGCUAAUUGUUUCCGGAAGAAAAUAGAGGCUCAGAGUUGCCAGGUCCGGAGUGUUACGGGACAUCUCUGCAUUUCUUAGGUGUUGGCAAAACUUCUGUCUCAUUUAUGAAGCCCCAGACGCUCCCAACAAUACAUGGCUUUGGGCCAACUUUGGCCGGUGGACUUCCGGGUUACCACCCCAAAUUCAAGAUGAUCCCCAAGUUUCUGGCUUUGCUAGCGUUUCAUGGCAAUCAAGAAAACAGGUGAUACAGGAUCGGCUUGCAUCAGGGACGCACGGAUCUUACGUGUAACGGGUCUUGGUUGUAAUGACCCCAGAAUUAGGAAUUACCGUUGUACAUAUCCACACAGUACAACACAAUGCCGUCCAGAACCACUCCGAUUUGUCCUAUCGGGGAUCCAGGGAGAAUGAGAAGGGCAGGCGUAGCUGAGAUGGUACCUGAACCCUUGUAUUCUCAGGAAAGGGCCAAAAUGACCGCUCCAUGAAAAUGGCAAUGGAUAAUCAGGGGCCUCACGCAGGAAAAGAACGACUUCCUCUUGUUUUUGAAGAGCAGAGGAGAUUCAUGAGGACAGUUGAAUUAGACUGUUCUUCUUAAGCUCUGGCUGAGAGGCUGGUACAACCCGGAAAAUUACAAUUUUAGGCCAACAACACAGGUAACAGCCCGCUAAUCCAUUCUCACAGUGUGAACUCCCCCCAUCAGCAACGUAAGAGUUUUUGGUAUCUGGAUAAAAGAGAGAAACAUUCCAACUAGGGCCUACAAAUGUGGGUAGGAAGCUCUCAUUAUCUUAAACAGCCAACAUCAAGGAUAUCAAGAGUUAAGUCGGAGAAUUUUUAUAGUAAUUAAUUUAAGGAUGCAGAAAUUGAGAGCUGGGGUCAUUGUUCGUACUGAGAUAAAUACAGAAAUAUCUUGCAGGAACAGCAGGGGAAACAGAAGGGAAAAGAGAAGAUUGCAUCCACUUUCAUGUAGUUUGUGGUUAAUUUAUUUUCAAAUGUAUAAAUGAGUGCAUAGGAAUGGAUGCUUAAUUGCUAAUAUCUAUUAUUUAUAUACAUUGCCCCACUUAAAACAGAAUGGAAAAGCCUCACACAUGCAGAUUUUGUAAAAUGUGUUACAUCCAUUAGCACAGUUCAUGGUGUGUGCUCUGAUGGGAAUUUAAAAGGAUCUUUACUGCACAUCACACACUAUGUGCUGCAACAUUACUUUAUUAUUAAAUUGUGGCUUAUCCUGUGUGGUCCCUUUCCCGAAUAAAAUGGAAAAAGUCCAGAGCACUGUCUGUGUCUCUGCUUCUGUUUCUACACUCUGAUUGCAAAGGCAUCCCUGUGGGUAAUAAAAUCAAGCAUAUACACAACAGUCGAAAAGAGGCUCCUUAAAAGGAAUCCUGAGAAUACACCUAAUUGAUGUAUAAUUUUGAAUCUGAGAUGUCUCAUCCAGGUGGAAGAGGAAAAUCAUAAAUACAAGAUACCUCAAAAGAAUAGUCUUAAUUACACCAUGGACUACUGAAUAAAAUGAUUACAUUUUCUACACUGUAAAUUUCAUACAAUUAAAUGCGGUAGUGUCACCUUAUAAAAUGUUUCAAUUUUAUAAUUAUUUCAGUUCAUUUGCUCAGAAAAAAACAUAAGCACAAAUUUACUAAGUAUCACCCAAAUCCAGUCAUCCUCGUUCUAAAGAACUGACUUGAACGUUAGUUGUGCUUGUCUGAACUUAAAUAGAUCUUGACAUAUUUAAGUAGCUAUUAAAAUUGAUAACAUCAGGGAUGAUACCCCAGCUAGAGAAAGGCAUUCAGUCACACUUUAUGUAUUCCUAUUCUACAUUACAGACUUUUAAAAAAAAAAAAAAAACUUAAUGUUGGAAGAGUGGGAACCAAUUUUUAUACUUUUUCACCAAAAACUUUGAGUAAUUAGUCAGAGCCACUGUGUCAUGAAUCUCAUGAUUAUGCUGAAUCUGCUGUGACCACACAUUAACCAUUAACAUAUUAGAAUACUAGGUUUGGGCCAGGUUUAUUUUCCUUUUUUUAUUACUUGGCUUUGAGGGGAUGGGAGGGGGAGAAUGUUGUUUAUGUGGGACCCUUUAUGGAAGAACCACAUACUUGCUACUUUGCAUAGUGAUUCCCAAACUAGCGGGUGAAUGUAUCUGGAGCUGAGGAAAACCAUCAGAACUACAGGGGACAGCUACAUCCUCCACUGUCUCUCCCUCCUCUGAAUUCCAGGCAUUUUGGUGACAAGAUUGAAAGCGGGGAGGGCAAACCCAGUGAGUACUGGACCACGACUGCGAGGCUGAUCUCUGAUACCCUGGUGGAAACUCCUUGCAUUGUUACCUUUUCCACUAUAAUUAAACAUGAUCCUUUCUAAUGAGACAGAUUCUCCCUCUUAAUUAGCCAAUCCCCAGCUGUACAUUUAGCACCUCUGGAGGCUGCGUUAAUCCUUCAGUAUCAUUAGGGUAUCACUUAGCACAUUACAGCCUCAGUGUCCUAAAGGUACCCUAGGGGUGUAAAAAGGAAAUGAAACAACCUAAGCAGGUUUUUGUCAUGGCUUUUUGCGCACAAAUACCGCUUUUGCCUGCAAGGCUUGCAGGUCGUGGCUCCUUCUUGAACCUUCCCUGAUCCGGAUUUAAGGAGGUAAGAGGUGGGAAAGCGAGCUGGGUGCUCUGAGAGCAGUGAUUACAGCCCGGGCCAGGAUGCCAGGGCAGUCAAUAAAGGGACGUCAACAUACAGAGACCUAGUUACGAAGAUAUUAGGAGAGGUGAAAAGCCAGGUAAGGGAGUAGUGAGGCCUCCCAGGACUUAGCAACAAGGCUCUGACACCUCUUCCCUUGGUCCCUCCCAGGCCACUAGUAAAUGACAAGCACUGGCCUGAGCUCAUAGGCCACCAGCAACUAACCAUUACUUGACACACCACUAGUAAGUGGCAUUAACAGUAGCCACAGAAAGAAGGAUUUUCAGAAAGAGAUAAAACCAAGGGGUAGAUACACCUGAGACACCACUCAAAGCAGAGAGAGGGGAGAAGAAAUACCGCCUGCAUUCCCUUCUCCCCUGCUCCCCACCCUCUUUUCCUGUCACUGCUUCCCAUUGGCUGAGGUUGGUGAGAAGCCGCUUGACAGAACCUUGAAAACAGACUUUAGCAGUCUUGGGAAUACAGAGCAGAGCAGGGAGGAGAAGGGAGAGCAGGCCUUCCACAAGCCGGCCACGUCCUGCGCCAUGAUGGAUCAUGACAGAGGAGGUGUGAGCCUUCUGAAGGGUAGGCCAGCUGCAGGGUUAAGAGCUCUGGAGGGGACAGUUUGAGUCAAAUCACAGAUUCACCAUUUCCUAUGCUUCUUAAAUUCCCUGAGCCACUAUUUCCCCAUCUAUAAAAGAAUUGUGAUAGGACUCAACUCAGGCCCACUUCAGGACCUAUGUGAGGAGCACAUAAAGUACAGAGGGCCAAGCAUUUGCUUCCAAUGUAACAAUGGAUAAGAGAGCACAGGCUUUGGAUCCAGAAAGACUGACAUUUGAACCUCUCGCCCACCACCUUAAAGUUGAAAGACUCAGGACAUUCAGGGACAAUCCCUGAGCCUUAGUCUUUUCGUCUAAAAAACGGGGACCACUUUAUUUAUCUCCCAUCGUUCAUUUACUCAUUCUUUCACUCAACAAGAGAUACAGCUUUCUUAUAAUUCAGGUUCUAGUAGGGAGAGAAACCCAUUCAUAAACGAUUUAGCUUCAUAGCAUCCUAUGAUCAGUACUAAGAGGAAAAAAUAGAGUGCUAUGAGAGUUUCAACAGGGUGUGAUUUAGAGAGAAGGUGUUUUAAACUAAAGACUCAGAGGCUGAGUAGGAAUCAGGUCAAGCUGUGAGGCAGGGGUUUAUGGAACACAGGCCAAAGAGAGAGCAUGCGCAAAGGCUCGGAGUUUGGUGUAUCCCAGGAUCUGAACGAAAGAGAACCAGUGUGACUGGAGGGCACUCGGUGAGGAGAAGAUUAGGAUGGGAAGCGAGAGAAAUAGGCAGAAACCUAUACGCAGGCAUAUGGGCUACGACCAGGAUGGGGGACUUUACGGGGGAAGCGAGCUCAUCUCAUUUCCAGUGAAAGAAUAUCACAGGAGACGAUGAAUCUGAGCUGCACUCACGUAAAAACCAGCGUGUUCGAUAGGAAGCUGUUGCUUUGGACCUGACGAUGGCCAAUAGUGGCUAGAACUAUGGCGGUGGCCCUAGAGGCAGGUAGAGGCUUAUAAGUUUCACAUACCAAUAUGAGAUAGAAUGUGCAGAAUUCGGCAGGGAAUUGCAUGGGGGGCGGGGGGGGCGGUAUGAUGGGGAAAAGGAAAAUGACAGGAAUGAGUCCCAGCUUUCUGUUCAUUUCAUGUGAGUGUGCAAGAGCCAUUCACAAGAGAAAGCCAAAGGUUUGUGGAAUAAGGAAUGAGGGAGAGCCGUGGUGCAGCCUGGCCUUGGUGAGUGGGAGAUGUCUUGAAGACAUUGCAGAAGCCAUGUGAAGGAGGCAGAUGGACGCACAGCAUACUCUUUGGGAUGGGCUGAGAGUAGGGGUGCUAAUCAUGGGCUUUGACUUUGCAUAUCAUGUUUACUAAACAUUAAAGCCCCAAGAAAUAGUGCAGGCAAAGGAAAAUACACCCAUUCAGGCAGGAGAAGGAGAGGUCCAACUCUCUUUUCAAACACUUGCAAAUUUCCCCCUGAACUGCUUGUGUUACUUUUGUGCAAACAGAAAUUGCCCAUAUGCAAAACAGUUUUGCCUGCCCGUGUAGAAUUAUUUAAUGUGCCUUUUAGGAAAAGUUUUCAACACUCUUGAAAGUUUGGAAAAAUCUGUUUUCAAUUCAUCAAUGUUGCCAUGUUUUUUUGGGCAAGAGGCUCUGCCUUUUAUAACCAAAUAAAAAGGACUGACUUAUACACAGGGAAAAAAAAAAAAAGAGCUCUAUUCUCAAAUGCAAAAUAGAAGAAAACAAAUACCAGUUUGGCCAAAGGAUUAGCCCAAACAUUUUUGUGUGUGUGCAAAUAAAACCUACGGUGUACAUCAGAAGCAGAGACCUCCGGAGUCUGCCAACUUGAGAAAACAUUGGCAAGAGGAGUUAAACCAAAAGAUUAUAUGCCCUCAGGAAAUUAUAAGGCCAUUUCACAAAUUGGGUCUUUACACUUUGAUACAAAACCCCAGCUCCCAUCCCCAUGUCACCAGCUCCCACCCUAACUUACCUGCAAAUCAAACUUUUACCCUGACAUCUACAAAGGACGCAGAUCUAGUGGGAUCAUUUUUAUACGAUCCUAGCGUGAGUAAGUCUCUUAAGCCUCCAGCCUGAAGGAUAUGGAGCAUUUGCUUGGGAUAUUUUGUACUGAGAACUUCUUCUUUUCCAGGGGCUGCUCUAGUAACCUUGCUGGCAUCAGUGUAAGUUGAUGAGGUUUUAUGCUCCGUAUCUUUGACCACCAACAUGCCCUCCUCAGAAAUGCAUACGUAAAAUAGAGUCUAUGUACUGUACUAACUGACUCCUGAAUUUUUGUGGGUGGUUUGUGGUGACUUAUAUGGGUGACUUGGCCACAUGCUGGAAGCUGGCUCUAAGUGAAUAAAAAAAUACACCCCAUCUGGCAAAGAGAUGAGUGCAUACACCCUGGAGGUAUUAUGGGAUAUGCUUCCUAAACCAGAAAUACUUAGGUACAGCCACAGCACCUGCAACAAUAUAUGGCAAUUAAAGGAGUCAUAAAAGUCACCUUGAGGUUCUUUAUCACUGUCUGAUUGGGAAAAAAGGAAAGGAGGGUGUGAGGCAGGGAUGGCACAUGGGACAGAGGCAAGAACGAAGACUUUGGUUUACCUAUAUGCACAGUUAUUUUCGACCUUUAGAUAAUGACUCUAAGUUUCUUCAAGAUAUUCGUUCCCUUUUAGAGCAAGUUUCCAUGCUUGCCCUCCUUUCAAGGAUGAACAAAUAUCUGAACAAAAAAAGUAAAAAACUUUUCUGGAAAAUAUUGUUGGAAGUAAAUGAACAGGCCUCUAAGAACAGUCAGAACCCAAGAGCAAAAUCUCUCCUGCAGGCUUGGAUAGUCUCAGCCAACUGAAGCCUGAAAACCAGAAUUUAUUAACAUUAACAUUCUUAUUGGAAACAAAAUAAAUCCUUAUGAAAAUAUAACUUUAAUUGAUUGAUAAACCCAUCAGGAGGAGGAGAUGUUUCUCCAAUUCAGGCCGGAAUGUUACUUUCAGCCACGAACAAUCUUCAGGAUAGUGAUUUUCAUUAAUUGGAUGAUAUAUCAUGUAAACAUACUUACCUACCCAUUUAUAAAGUGCUUACAUGUUUGUGAGACAACUAAAAAACAAGUUAUGAUUUUAACAAGAGAGUUGCUGCAUCUCCUAACUAAUUCCCUUUAUGGAAACAAAAAAUAUCAUAAUCUAUAACCCAUCACAGCUGUUUGGCUAGAAGUACCAAUUACCUUCAAUACCUUAGAGAUACUUUUCCGAUUUUUACAAGUCUGCAGUAGUAAAUUUUUAAACCAAUUUUCUUAAGGAGGAUUGAGAAGAUUUCUACGCUUUCAGGCAUAUGAUGACGUAUUUCAUUUAACAUGAAUAUAAAAUCAAGGCUUCCCCAAACUGGAGGACAAAGGACGCAGGGAUUGAAAACAAAAUACAACCAAAACAAAAACUCUGACUAUUUAAAAAAUUCUUUCUCUGCGUUUUGAAAUGUGCUUUUCGCUGGCAUGCGAAUAUGGGUGUGGCAGAUUUAUGGGAAUCCACACCAUACAAAUGAGAAAGCCUGGUGACGAGAAGCCGGAAAUUUGUACAGUCUCUCCUUGUCCCCAGCCCUAAUUGCUCCUGAAAGCUCCCUGCACCUGCAGAGGACCGGCUAUUUUUCAGACAGCUGCAAGGUUUCCAGAUAGGUAGCUAAUUGUGUGGCUUCUCAGCACCUCUGCAGGCAAAGUAAAUAAAGGAGUUUAGAAAAGUGACAGCACUUUAAAUAACCAGAUUAUGUGGAAUCAAUAGAAAUGCUCAGGAAGUUAAUAAAGCAAUUACUUAAGUAGAGUGGGUACGGCAGGGAGGUGGGGAAGAGUAAUGGUGUACUUUACCCCUAAUAUGGACAAUUAAGAGUUGGCCAUAAAGUUAUCAAGCAUGCCACCACACCUGCCUGUCCUUCGGAGACACCCCUCUCUGUGCCACCGUUAAUUUCUUCCUCUUCUUUUCCUUCUCCUUCUUCUUUAAACAGAGGAGUGUGCCUCUCUCAUCCUCACCUGUCUGUUUUGCCAGUUUUGGGACUGUCUCCUGAUGCUCCCAGACACGUGCGAAACAGUGUGUACCAACCUGUGCUGCCCCUCUCACAGGUACCACCACACCUCGGAUGAAAGCCACCCGCGGCACGACUGCAAGUGCAACUGUGACGUCGACUGCAGUCUUUUUGAAUCUUGCCACGAGACCAGCGAGUGUCUGGAGUUGGCCAUGGAGAUUUCAGAAAUCUGUUACCGCUAG
rnacentral:lncRNA from 1 species